UACGGAGGGUGCAAGCGUUGUUCGGAAUUACUGGGCGUAAAGCGCGCGUAGGCGGUUUGUUAAGUCAGAUGUGAAAGCCCUCGGCUCAACCGGGGACGUGCAUUUGAAACUGGCAGACUUGAGUACUGGAGGGGGUGGUGGAAUUCCCGGUGUAGAGGUGAAAUUCGUAGAUAUCGGGAGGAAUACCGGUGGCGAAGGCGACCACCUGGCCAGAUACUGACGCUGAGGUGCGAAAGCGUGGGGAG
rnacentral:rRNA from 1 species